rnacentral:rRNA from 1 species
UACAGAGGUCCCAAGCGUUGUUCGGAUUCAUUGGGCGUAAAGGGUGCGUAGGCGGCGCCGUAAGUCAGGUGUGAAAUCUCGGGGCUUAACUCCGAAACUGCAUUUGAUACUGCGGUGCUUGAGGACUGGAGAGGAGACUGGAAUUUACGGUGUAGCGGUGAAAUGCGUAGAUAUCAGUCGGAACACCGGUGGCGAAGGCGGCUUCUUGGGCCGAGAUUGACGCUGAGGCGCGAAAGCUGGGGGGAGCGAACGGG